rnacentral:rRNA from 1 species
AUGGUAUUUUUGCUUGUCCCCCUCGCCAGCCCAGUAAAAUCUGGACUGAUAUUUGGCCACCUCCUGGUGAAGCGUCUCAUGGAGUCUAUAGAAGCUCAUGAGGAACCAGAGAAGGCUAGCCAGCGAGGAGUUGAUGAGGAUUACCCGCGCCGCCUUCGAGAGCCACCGGCCCUUCCAGGGCUCGACUCGGUGUUGCAUCCGGGUCACGGAAGGGCGGAGGUCCGCUACGGUGAGGCGAGAGUCACUAAUGGGGAUCCCCAGAUAGGUCGUGGGGAAAGAACCCAGGCGGCAAUUAAGCCGGUCCGCAAUGCCCUGGGCCUCCACCGGUGGGUAUCCCAGCACCAUCACCUCGCUCUUAUCAAAGUUGAUGGUCAGACCGGACAUCCGUUGGAAGCAGAGGAGGAGGAACAUCAGGUUGGCAAUAUCGGACUCGGAGCCCUCAACCAUUAUUAUGGUGUCAUCGGCAUAUUGUAG